rnacentral:rRNA from 1 species
UACGUAGGGUGCGAGCGUUAAUCGGAAUUACUGGGCGUAAAGCGUGCGCAGGCGGCGCGUUAAGACAGGUGUGAAAGCCCCGAGCUUAACUUGGAAAUUGCGCUUGUGACUGGCGUGCUGGAGUGUGGCAGAGGGAGGUGGAAUUCCACGCGUAGCAGUGAAAUGCGUAGAGAUGUGGAGGAACACCGAUGGCGAAGGCAGCCUCCUGGGCCAGCACUGACGCUCAUGCACGAAAGCGUGGGGAGCAAACAGG